rnacentral:rRNA from 1 species
UACGUAGGAGACGAGCGUUGUCCGGAAUCACUGGGCGUAAAGCGCGUGUAGGCGGAUGGGCAAGUCUGCUGUGAAAGCUCCUGGCUUAACCGGGAGUGGUCGGUGGAAACUGCCAAUCUGGAGGACGGUAGAGGUAGGUAGAAUUCCCGGUGUAGUGGUGAAAUGCGUAGAGAUCGGGAGGAAUACCUGUGGCGAAGGCGGCCUACUGGGCCGGACCUGACGCUGAGACGCGAAGGCGUGGGGAGCGAACGGG